rnacentral:rRNA from 1 species
GAUGAACGCUGGCGGCGUGCCUAAUACAUGCAAGUCGAGCGAACGGACGAGAAGCUUGCUUCUCUGAUGUUAGCGGCGGACGGGUGAGUAACACGUGGAUAACCUACCUAUAAGACUGGGAUAACUUCGGGAAACCGGAGCUAAUACCGGAUGAUAUUUUGAACCGCAUGGUUCAAAAGUGAAAGACGGUCUUGCUGUCACUUAUAGAUGGAUCCGCGCUGCAUUAGCUAGUUGGUAAGGUAACGGCUUACCAAGGCAACGAUGCAUAGCCGACCUGAGAGGGUGAACGGCCACACUGGAACCGAGACACGGUCCAGACUCCUACGGGAGGCAGCAGUAGGGAAUCUUCCGCAAUGGGCGAAAGCCUGACGGAGCAACGCCGCGUGAGUGAUGAAGGUCUUCGGAUCGUAAAACUCUGUUAUUAGGGAAGAACAUAUGUGUAAGUAACUGUGCACAUCUUGACGGUACCUAAUCAGAAAGCCACGGCUAACUACGUG